CUCAGUUCGGAUCGCAGGCUGCAACCCGCCUGCGUGAAGUCGGAAUCGCUAGUAAUCGCGGAUCAGCAUGCCGCGGUGAAUACGUUCCCGGGCCUUGUACACACCGCCCGUCACACCAUGAGAGUCGGGAACACCCGAAGUCCGUAGCCUAACCGCGAAGGGGGGCGCGGCCGAAGGUGGGUUCGAUAAUUGGGGUGAAGUCGUAACAAGGUACC
rnacentral:rRNA from 1 species